rnacentral:tRNA from 1 species
GCCUGACUGGCUCAGUCAGUAGAGCAUGUGACUCUUGAUCCCAGGGUCAUGAAUUCAAGCCCCAUUUCAGGCG